GACGAACGCUGGCGGCGUGCCUAAUACAUGCAAGUAGAACGCUGAAGGAGGAGCUUGCUCUUCUGGAUGAGUUGCGAACGGGUGAGUAACGCGUAGGUAACCUGCCUGGUAGCGGGGGAUAACUAUUGGAAACGAUAGCUAAUACCGCAUAAAAUUGAUUAUUGCAUGAUAGUCAAUUAAAAGGUGCAAUUGCAUCACUACCAGAUGGACCUGCGUUGUAUUAGCUAGUUGGUGAGGUAACGGCUCACCGAGGCAACGAUACAUAGCCGACCUGAGAGGGUGAUCGGCCACACUGGGACUGAGACACGGCCCAGACUCCUACGGGAGGCAGCAGUAGGGAAUCUUCGGCAAUGGACGGAAGUCUGACCGAGCAACGCCGCGUGAGUGAAGAAGGUUUUCGGAUCGUAAAGCUCUGUUGUAAGAGAAGAACGAGUGUGAGAGUGGAAAGUUCACACUGUGACGGUAUCUUACCAGAAAGGGACGGCUAACUACGUG
rnacentral:rRNA from 1 species